rnacentral:rRNA from 1 species
UACGAAGGAUCCAAGCGUUAUCCGGAUUUAUUGGGUUUAAAGGGUGCGUAGGCGGACUAUUAAGUCAGUGGUGAAAGCCUGCAGCUUAACUGCAGAAUUGCCAUUGAUACUGAUGGUCUUGAGUACAGAAGGGGCAACUGGAAUUCUCGGUGUAGCGGUGAAAUGCGUAGAUAUCGAGAGGAACACCUGCGGCGAAGGCGGGUUGCUGGGCUGACACUGACGCUGAGGCGCGAAAGCCAGGGGAGCGAACGGG